rnacentral:lncRNA from 1 species
CUUGGUCUGAGAUGAAGAGCAGUAAUCAGCUCUGCUCCCUUUCUUUGGCAGAUGAGCAUGCAGGCACAUCACUGGAGAUUUCUACAUGUGUGAUUUAAAACCUUUCCCACAUAUGUUCGGCACCACUCAGUUGCAAACACAAGAUAUCCUGCAGCCAGGAUAUCUCCAAGCAGGAGGAUUGCACAGGAGAAGAAGUGCUAAACUGGAUCUCUUGUUCCUGCCUUAAUUCCUGUCACUUCUCAGAGCAGCCUACAGUCCUGCUGUGUGUGUGCAGCGCUCCUGGUGCGGCUUCAGAUUUGAAUAUCCUGGGGCUCUUCCGUUCUUGAUCCGGGCUUCAGCUCUGAGCCGGAGGUUGGUGUCGGUGUCCGAAGGACCGGCAGGGAGCACACAGCUGCACAGAUUCCUUAAAAGCAAAUGGAAGUCACAGAUGUACAAACAGAGGAAGGAUUUGGGCCAUUUUUGUUACAGUCUGAAGAAAAGUCAAAUAUAAUCUACCAGCACCAAGAUGCUGUGGUAUGUUUUACAACAUAUCACCCCAACACCAAGCGCUGUCCAUGAGUAACUCCUACAAACUUUUGCUGUAACGAGCCCUCCCCUUGUGUUUUUGGCAUGUUGUUCUCAUGGCUGGACAGUCUGUCUGUGUGUGGUCAGAGUUCUAUGUUCAAAUUUAUCUUGAAGUGAUGGAUUUUUGUCUUGUGCUUCACUUCUCUAACACUUUUUGGUGCUGCCUCUUCCUUUCUUGGGAGGGAUAUAUUAGGAAAUGCCAUAAACAUACGUUCCUAGCAUUUUAAUAAAUGGGAGAUCAGUGUUACUGACAAACAGAACUGUAUCAUCUGGGAUUCAGUAUCUCUUCUUGGCAAUAAGCAAAUUCUCUGAUGAUACGGAAAGUUAAACUCAUCCUUUUUCAUUUGCCAAAGCAAAUUCCUUUUUUUGUUGUUCCUAAUAGCAGGUUCUCUGUGAUAAAGCAAAGAAGAAUACAAGGAGGGACCGGUGCAGGCAAUUAACAUCAACUGUUAGGACACUGAUUGCAGAACCCUAUCUUCCAGCACAAGUCCUCCAGCUCUCCUGCCAGCUGCAAAGGAACAUUCCUGCCCCCACUCCGCUUAGCCCACUGCUUGGGGAACAGCCUGUGUUGAGCUCUCAGGGUAGAGUUAUACAAAGGUUUUAUUUCCAGUGGGAAAGCCAGUUUAAGCCAGGCAGUUUCCUGCCUGCUAUGCCCUCUUGUUCUGGCUCCUUCAUCACAGCUCACUGUGCCCUUGAUUGUGCCGAUGCAGCUGUUUCUGGGCUGUGCUGUAAAUUG